CCCGUAUUUUGUAAAAGCGCCCAGCGGCUACUUCCGGGCAGCCCCGUUUAAGUUUUUAUUAAAUCGUGAUAUUAAUGCGCAGCUGCUUCUCUGCUUUAGUAGGAUGUGUUCGGUGGAUCGGAUCUCUCUGGGCUUCCUGAACCAAGUCCAAGUGGUGGAACUGUUUGUAAAGACAUUCUCAGAAUUAUGAAAAAUCUGAGGGGAAAAGAGCGGCGUGUUGUGCUGCUGAGUGACUUUAAACUAAAAUGACUGUA